rnacentral:rRNA from 1 species
AUUGAACGCUGGCGGCAGGCCUAACACAUGCAAGUCGAGCGGUAGCACAGGGAGCUUGCUCCUGGGUGACGAGCGGCGGACGGGUGAGUAAUGUCUGGGAAACUGCCUGAUGGAGGGGGAUAACUAUUGGAAACGGUAGCUAAUACCGCAUAACGUCGCAAGACCAAAGAGGGGGACCUUCGGGCCUCUUGCCAUCAGAUGUGCCCAGAUAGGAUUAGCUAGUAGGUGGGGUAAUGGCUCACCUAGGCGACGAUCCCUAGCUGGUCUGAGAGGAUGACCAGCCACACUGGAACUGAGACACGGUCCAGACUCCUACGGGAGGCAGCAGUGGGGGAUAUUGCACAAUGGGCGCAAGCCUGAUGCAGCCAUGCCGCGUGUAUGAAGAAGGCCUUCGGGUUGUAAAGUACUUUCAGCGGGGAGGAAGGUGUUGAGGUUAAUAACCUCAGCAAUUGACGUUACCCGCAGAAGAAGCACCGGCUAACUCCGUGCCAGCAGCCGCAGUAA